rnacentral:pre_miRNA from 1 species
GCACUGAAAAGUAUGGAGUUGGAACGAUUGCCUAUGUUUGUCGCUAGGGGCGCUGUUCCAACUGCAUACAAAUUUCAGUUA